GUGGGGAAUAUUGGACAAUGGGCGAAAGCCUGAUCCAGCCAUGCCGCGUGUGUGAAGAAGGCCUUCGGGUUGUAAAGCACUUUAAGCGAGGAGGAAGGUUCGUCACCUAAUACGUGACGGAAUUGACGUUACUCGCAGAAUAAGCACCGGCUAACUCUGUGCCAGCAGCCGCGGUAAUACAGAGGGUGCAAGCGUUAAUCGGAAUUACUGGGCGUAAAGCGCGCGUAGGCGGUUGUGUAAGUUGGAUGUGAAAUCCCCGGGCUUAACCUGGGCACUGCAUUCAAAACUGCACGGCUAGAGUAUUGGAGAGGAAGGUAGAAUUCCAGGUGUAGCGGUGAAAUGCGUAGAGAUCUGGAGGAAUACCGAUGGCGAAGGCAGCCUUCUGGCCAAAUACUGACGCUGAGGUGCGAAAGCAUGGGGAGCAAACAGGAUUAGAAACCCCAGUAGUCC
rnacentral:rRNA from 1 species